rnacentral:antisense_RNA from 21 species
UUCAAUGGCGGGCCUUGGCUGAGGGGACACCUUCGGGUGUGCCGGUUUCCUUUUGCGCCGGUCCGCGAACCCCAAAGCCUUGCGCCUGCCACCA